AGCAUUGUGCAAUUGUUUUACAGGGGAUACGGUUUUAUCGAGUAUGAUAAGGUGCAGUCUGCAGGUGAUGCAAUCAACUCCAUGAACCUCUUUGACCUCGGUGGUCAGUACCUACGAGUCGGCAGGGCAAUAACACCACCAACACCAGCCCCAGCCGUUCCUUCAGGGCCAGGAGGCCUUCCUCCAGCUGCGGCUGUGGCUGCAGCCGCAGCAACUGCCAAGAUCCAGGCACUGGAUGCGGUGACUGGCCUAUCUACAUCUCUAUCUGUUACAGGAUCAGCAGGCCUUGGUCUGGCAGCCCCUCCACCACC